rnacentral:rRNA from 1 species
AGUGAACGCUGGCGGUAGGCCUAACACAUGCAAGUCGAACGGCAGCACAGUAAGAGCUUGCUCUUACGGGUGGCGAGUGGCGGACGGGUGAGGAAUACAUCGGAAUCUACUUUUUCGUGGGGGAUAACGUAGGGAAACUUACGCUAAUACCGCAUACGACCUACGGGUUAAAGCAGGGGAUCUUCGGACCUUGCGCGAUUGAAUGAGCCGAUGUCGGAUUAGCUAGUUGGGUGGGUAACGGCCCACCAAGGCGACGAUCCGUAGCUGGUCUGAGAGGAUGAUCAGCCACACUGGAACUGAGACACGGUCCAGACUCCUACGGGAGGCAGCAGUGGGGAAUAUUGGGCAAUGGGCGCAAGCCUGAUCCAGCCAUACCGCGUGGGUGAAGAAGGCCUUCGGGUUGUAAAGCCCUUUUGUUGGGAAAGAAAAGCAGCAGGUUAAUACCCCGCUGUUCUGACGGUACCCAAAGAAUAAGCACCGGCUAACUUCGUG